CCGGAACUACGGAAUAACAUGAAGAAAUUUAUGCUAAUACCGUAUACGCCCUUUUGGGGAAAGAUUUAUUGGUUUCGGAUGAGCCCGCGUUGGAUUAGCUUGUUGGUAGGGUAAUGGCCUACCAAGGCGACGAUCCAUAGCUGGUCUGAGAGGAUGAUCAGCCACACUGGGACUGAGACACGGCCCAGACUCCUACGGGAGGCAGCAGUGGGGAAUAUUGGACAAUGGGCGCAAGCCUGAUCCAGCCAUGCCGCGUGAGUGAUGAAGGCCUUAGGGUUGUAAAGCUCUUUCACCGGUGAAGAUAAUGACGGUAACCGGAGAAGAAGCCCCGGCUAACUUCGUGCCAGCAGCCGCGGUAAUACGAAGGGGGCUAGCGUUGUUCGGAUUUACUGGGCGUAAAGCGCACGCAGGCGGAUAUUUAAGUCAGAGGUGAAAUCCCGGGGCUCAACCCUGGAAUUGCCUUUGAUACUGGGUAUCUGGAGUACAGAAGAGGUAAGUGGAAUUCCGAGUGUAGAGGUG
rnacentral:rRNA from 1 species